AUUUUCCUGACGAUUCAUGGUGUCAUGCACUCUUUGAUGUCUCUUUUACCUUUUCAUUGGAUUGUUUUACUUUGAUUACUCGGUCUUAGGAAGAUUCUAAUGUUUUUGUUUGUUUGUUUGUUUUUGAUAUCAGGAAUUGAAUGCGGGUCCUCAUGCUUGCGAGGCAGGCAGCAGAACCUCUGAGCCAAAUCCCUGGCCCGAUCCCCUAUGUUUUGUUAAAAAGUAUGCAUAAGAUAUACUUGAGGUCAGUAAAAUGGUUGUUAUGACCACCUGUGCCUCUGCAGUGUGGAUCCAGAUACCAGCACAACCAGGAAGCCUGAGACCACUGUGGCGGGGAGCAGGAUGCUGCAGAGGCAACCCCGUGGCUGGGUGGCCCUCUCCAGUCUCAUACAGUGAAGGCCCAGGGCACUGGACAAUCUCACAACUCCCCCAUCUGUACUUCAACACUAUGUGUAUACAUCACUAAAUAUGGUUGGUGUCUCCUUUUACUAGAGCGGAAGGAUGUGUUCUGAGCACAGUAAGAGAAAUGGCCUUCAGAAAUGCUCUUCCUCUGGACUUAUUGCUGCUUCUAAUUGCUAUAUCAUUCCUCCUUCACCCAGUUAGAGGUUUGUUAUCUAAGAUGAUUUUAUACUGAGCAAGA
rnacentral:lncRNA from 1 species